rnacentral:lncRNA from 1 species
ACACCAUAGUAGUACUUCCCAUUCUCCAAGUACCUAGUAUCACUCAUUCCUUGCUUCUCAACAUUGUUGUACUCAUUGUUACCAUUGUAAUAGUUGUUGUUGUUGUUCUGGUUUUCCUUAGUACUCCAUCCUUUCUCAGUGAACAUGGCCUCAUUGUUACCAUUGUAAUAGUUGUUGCUAUUCUGGUUUUCCUUAGUACUCCACCCUUUCUCAGUGAACAAGGCCUCGUUGUUACCAUUGUAGUUGUUGGUUUCCUUGGUGGUCCAUCCUUUCUCAUUGAACCUGGCUUCACUUUGCUGCUCAGUGUUCCCGUAGGCAUUUGUCUUGCUAUAAAAGUAAGAGUCUUUGUUGUUGGUUUUGGACGCUGGGAUGCUAUUGUAGGGUUCAUCAGGGUGGUAUUUAACAGGAGUGACAUAGGGUUCAUAGGUUU